GCCUGUGUAGCUCAGUCGGUAAGAGCGCAACAUUGGUAAUGUUGAGGUCCUGAGUUCAAUUCUCAGCACAGGCU
rfam:Candidatus Pacearchaeota archaeon RBG_13_33_26 RBG_13_scaffold_158, whole genome shotgun sequence.